GUAGGUGGCAAGCGUUGUCCGGAAUUAUUGGGCGUAAAGCGCGCGCAGGCGGUUCUUUAAGUCUGAUGUGAAAGCCACGGCUCAACCGUGGAGGGUCAUUGGAAACUGGAGAACUUGAGUACAGAAGAGGAAAGCGGAAUUCCACGUGUAGCGGUGAAAUGCGUAGAGAUGUGGAGGAACACCAGUGGCGAAGGCGGCUUUCUGGUCUGUAACUGACGCUGAGGCGCGAAAGCGUGGGGAGCAAACAGGGAUUAGGAUACCUGGUAGUCCACGCCGUAAACGAUGAGUGCUAAGUGUUAGGGGGGUUUCCGCCCCCCUUAGUGCUGCAGCUAACGCAUUAAGCACUCCGCCUGGGGAGUACGGCCGCAAGGCUG
rnacentral:rRNA from 1 species